rnacentral:rRNA from 1 species
GUAAUGCGUAGGAAGCUGCCCAAUAGAGGGGGAUACCAGUUGGAAACGACUGUUAAUACCGCAUAAUGUCUACGGACCAAAGUGUGGGACCUUCGGGCCACAUGCUAUCGGAUGCGCCUACGUGGGAUUAGCUAGUUGGUGAGGUAAUGGCUCACCAAGGCGACGAUCUCUAGCUGGUUUGAGAGGAUGAUCAGCCACACUGGAACUGAGACACGGUCCAGACUCCUACGGGAGGCAGCAGUGGGGAAUAUUGGACAAUGGGCGCAAGCCUGAUCCAGCCAUGCCGCGUGUGUGAAGAAGGCCUUCGGGUUGUAAAGCACUUUCAGCGAGGAGGAAGGGGUAGUAGUUAAUAGCUGCUACUUUUGACGUUACUCGCAGAAGAAGCACCGGCUAACUCUGUGCCAGCAGCCGCGGUAAUACAGAGGGUGCAAGCGUUAAUCGGAAUUACUGGGCGUAAAGCGCACGUAGGCGGUUGGUUAAGUUGGAUGUGAAAGCCCCGGGCUCAACCUGGGAAUUGCAUUCAAAACUGGCCAACUAGAAUACGGGAGAGGGGGGUAGAAUUCCAAGUGUAGCGGUGAAAUGCGUAGAGAUUUGGAGGAAUACCAGUGGCGAAGGCGGCCCCCUGGCCCGAUAUUGACGCUGAGGUG